rfam:Schistosoma mansoni strain Puerto Rico chromosome 5, complete genome
GCACUGUUGUGGAGUUCCACAAUAGGACGAAACGGCCGUCCAGUGC